GACCGCAAGGCCUUGACGCUUGGAGAGGAGCCCGCGCCUGAUUAGCUAGUUGGCGGGGUAAUGGCCCACCAAGGCGACGAUCAGUAGCCGGCCUGAGAGGGCGGACGGCCACACUAGGGACUGAGACACGGCCCAGACUCCUACGGGAGGCAGCAGUGGGGAAUUGUUCGCAAUGGGCGCAAGCCUGACGACGCAACGCCGCGUGGAGGAUGAAGGUCUUCGGAUCGUAAACUCCUGUUGAUCGGGACGAAAA
rnacentral:rRNA from 1 species